CAUAAAGGAAAUGCACUUAUCUUGAUGGAAAAUAUAAGAGUCCAGAUUUGCCAAGGCCUUCAGUUAUUUUACAAGGUCCGAAACAGAGGGAGGAGGUGCCAGUCAAAACCUUUGAUUUCUUCUGUCUCUCUCAUCUUCCCUCUUUUUUAGAGGUUUCUUGGGAAAUGAGAGGAACACAUAUACAUCAGAUGUGCUGCUUAUAUCUGGGAAGAGAGGACAUAUGUUUCAGGUGGACAGAUACACCAAGGAAAUAUUGGAAGCUGUCACAAGACAAUGAGAAUGACUGAAAAUGGAGCACAUUUUUCUGUAUCUCCAGCCUGCAGAGGAGGAUCCAAUUUCCCAAUUACCUCUUUUGUCUUCAUCCCAACUGCUGCUCCAAUAAUAAACCAAAAUCUUUUUCUAUCAGAUUUCCUCCAGGA